UAAUAACAAGAGUGAUAAUAACUUAU
rnacentral:SRP_RNA from 1 species